UGCUGAGACAAUCAGGAGGUUGGCUUAGAAGAAGCCAUCCUUUAAAGAAAGCGUAACAGCUCACUGGUCAAGCGCUCCUGCGCGGAAAAUGUAACGGGGCUUAAGUGAUACACCGAAGCUGCGGGCUCAACUUUGUUGAGCGGUAGCGGAGCGUUCCGUAGGCCGAUGAAGGCAGACCCGCGAGGGCUGCUGGAGGUAUCGGAAGUGAGAAUGCUGACAUGAGU
rnacentral:rRNA from 1 species